UACGUAGGGUGCGAGCGUUGUCCGGAAUUAUUGGGCGUAAAGAGCUCGUAGGCGGCCUGUCGCGUCUGCUGUGAAAACUCAGGGCUUAACCCUGAGCUUGCAGUGGGUACGGGCAGACUAGAGUGCGGUAGGGGAGACUGGAAUUCCUGGUGUAGCGGUGAAAUGCGCAGAUAUCAGGAGGGAACACCGGUGGCGAAGGCGGGUCU
rnacentral:rRNA from 1 species